rnacentral:sRNA from 1 species
CCAGCUCCCAGCAUCCCUUCUCCUCCGAUCUGUGGUUCCUGAUGGGAAGACAUGAGCAAAAAUGACUGAAUAUGCUACUAUCAAUAAGUUGCCUCUAUACGGCUUACGUAAAAAGAGAGAUUGCCUGUGAGGAUGAUGUCUUCCAGAAACGUUCUCAUGCAUCCCAGGCUGGCCUCAAAAUCGCCAUCUACCUAAAGAUAACUGUAAACGUAGGAUCAUCUGCCUCUGUCCAGAGUGCAAAGGUCAGAGGUUGUGCUAUCUCAGACAGACUAAGUCUGGCUGGGAAUCUAACCCAGGGCUCCAGGCAUGACAGGAGUAAUGGCUAACUGUCACCUGAACAGGAUCUAGAAUCGCCAAGGAGACAAGCCUCUGGGCAUGCUGUGACAGUGGAGACUCAGUUAAUGGGGCAGUAAGACCCUGCACUGCGGAGCACUCAUCCAUGGGCUGAGGCUCUGACCUGGUAAGCACUGCUGAGCACCAGCAUGCACCGCUCUCAGAAGUCCGGUCAGCUGCCUGGAGCCCCAUUGCCAUGGCUUCCUCGCCAUGCUGGACUGUACUGAACUGGAGCCACAGUAAGCAGUUUCUUCUGUAAGUUCUUAGGUCAGGCAUUGUGUCAAAACAGCAACAAGGAACUAGCUAGCACACCGGGCCAGCUUUCUUCCAACUGCAUGUAUCCCUAAGUUUACAUUGUUAAAGCUCAAGAGAGAUUUCCUGUGAGCUUUUUGUGGAUUUUGUACAAUGAAUUUUGAUUAUAUUUAGCCUUUUCUCUUAACGCUUCUUUGAUCCACACUCCCCCAACCCCUCUUUCCCUACCCAGCCAACUUCUUUCUAUUUUUUUUUUUUUUUGGUGGGGGGGACUCAUACUUUUGUUUACAAUUUUAAUAAAAAGAUCUCCAAAAUAAAUCACAAUUCAUACGUGUGCCUUAAAAAAUGUAAGCAAAAUAAUUACAGGAGGCAAAGGAAGGGAGGGACCUAGGUGGGAGAGGGGAGGGGGAGGAGAAAAGGGGAACAGGAUCAUGCAUGGGGGGUGGGGGUUAAGUAAAGGGGAAAAGUCCAGAGGGGCCAGGAGAAUGAAUAGAAAUACAUAGCCUUGAGGGGUGUGAGGUGGGAGGACCCUCGAGAAAGUACCAGAGGCCUGGAAGGUGAGAGACUCCCAGGACUCAAUGGGGAGUCUGUCACUAUGUUAGUCAAAAUGCCCAACACUGGGGAGAGGAAACUCAAAGAGACCACCUUCAGUAGAUAGAUCACCCAGAGUCAAGAGCUCUGACCCAGAACUUUCCUGUCUAAAAGAAUUGCAGGGGGAAAAAAGAGAAGAAACUGAAGGAAAAGCUGUCCAGUGAUCAGCCCAACUUGGGAUCCAUUUCAGGGGUAGGGUGCCAAGGCCUCAUACUGUUACAGAUGCUAUGACUGCUUACAGGCAGGAGCCUAGCAUGGCUGUCCUCUGAGAGACCCAAUCAGCAGCUGACUGAAACAGACAUAGAUACUUACACCCAACGAUUGAACCCCAUGGUUAAAUUAGGAAACGGAUUGAAGAAGCUGAGGAGAAGGGUAAUCCCGUAAGAAGAGCAGCAGUAUCAACUAACCCAGACCCCAGGCUCCUGGGACACUGAGCCAGCAAGCAGGCAGCACGCAAGGGCUGGUCUGAGGCUCCCAGCACAUGUAUAGCAGAGGACUGCCUGGUUGGAUCUCAGUGGGAAAAGAUGUGCCUAGUCCUAGAGAGACUUAAGGCCCAAGGGAAGGGGCAGGUCUGGUGGGGAGAACACCCUCUCAGAGGCAAGAGGGAGGAGGAAUGGGAUUAGGAACUGUGUGGGGCAACAGCUAGAACGUAAAUAAAUAAAAUAAUUUUUAAAAAUGAAUAAAGGACAAAUAAAAUGAUGUUUUAUACACAUUUAGUAAUAACAAUAGUUGAUACAUCUAUUUCAAAAAUAAAUCUCUAACAAUAGAAUAAAAACUGUAAACAUUUUUUGAGUGUGCCAGCUACUAUGCUAAAGGCUUUCACACGGACUUUCUUAAAGAAUGCCUAACAGCCGUGAUUCCUGUCUCCAGUGAGCUAUUUCUAAUGGAUAGCAUUGUACUCCCCAUUGCUGCAACUGGAAAUCAACAUACCAAAGGCCAAUGUAGUAGAGGGGUCAUUGCUCAAACGGAGACCGGCUGGAUCCUAAAGCCCACAUUCUCAGUGCCUCACACACCUGCUCUCAGAGGCCUCCCUCGGUGGCGAUCCUCUAGCACGGCACAGGGGACCUCUGCUCUCUACAUGCUCCCUCACAGCUGGCCCUCGGUACUGAUUCAUCCAUCUACUCUCACUAUCCUUUCUGAAUUUCAAUUUUCACCAUGACCUAAAAACCGUGACAGAAGGAAAAAACAAUAAAACAGUAAAUUUAUUUCAUCCUCAGGCCAAAGUGUAUUUUGCUGGGAAAGAGUCCUUUGUGCCACCUGGUGCUUUCCUGACAAAGGCGUGUUCUUUGAUGACUAUUCUGAAAGCAUUUAAAUAAUUCACCCCCAGUACUCCCUCUGUGUGAGAAAGGAGGUAGCCAGAGAGAAUGAGCAGACAACCUGAGACACUGAGUAAUUACAGCAGUCAUUGUUGCUGCGUAUGUUACCACUGGAGGAACGGGAAGAAACAACGAAUCCAUUUAUCAUCCAAAGAUCGUUGUAUGAGGCCUGAAAAGAUAGCCCCUCAGUCAAGAGCUUACUGCUCUAGCACAGGCCUCAGGCUCAGUAAUCAGCAUUCACCACGCCAUCUCUAACUCCAGUUCCAGAGCCUUCUGAUUACUCCCACUCCUGCACCAGGUGGUGUAUAUACAGACAAGAGAACACACACCUGAACAUAAUUUUUUUCAUACAUUUUAAAAAUAAAAAAAUUGAAAUGAAAAUAAAUUAGAAGUACUUCUUGCUCUGAAAUCUACUAAGUUUAACAAAACAAGAAUUCUCAAGUAUCCUAUUUGUAAUGUACUAGAUUAAUUAAACUUUCAGUUGUUAUGAUCUUUCUACUUUCUGGACAGUAUCAUGCUUACUUUAAUAAUGUGUUGCCCUUUUGAAAAGUUCUGACUUUCUAGUCUGGUAACUGAAUUAAAGCAGGAGGAGCAGAGUAAUUUAUUUAUAUUGAACCCUUUACGUCAAUCAGCAAUGAUGCGUGAAUUACUCGGUGACUAUGGUUUGGGUUUGUUGUUUUACUUUCACGUAGGGGUGGAAAGUUUGUGAGUAACCACACGUCUCAGACGCUCUUAGGCGGGUGUGCGUUUAAAGGACGGUCAGUAUAAAGGAAAGCUCCCUGUGCUUAAAGCCGUGAGUGAGUCUGACGAUGCACACGAAGCAUCACAGCCCUUGUGAGGCUGAGGUGAAAAUACUGAGAGCUUGAGUCCAGCUCAGGAUGCACAGCAAGAGCCUGCCUCAAAAGACUGAAGCCACACCAACAAAACAGGAAGUAGUCCCAAUCUCUUCAUUUAUCUGUAGCAAAAAC